AACGAACGCUGGCGGCAUGCCUAACACAUGCAAGUCGAACGAGACCUUCGGGUCUAGUGGCGCACGGGUGCGUAACGCGUGGGAACCUGCCCUUAGGUUCGGAAUAACUCCCCGAAAGGGGUGCUAAUACCGGAUAAUGUCUUCGGACCAAAGAUUUAUCGCCUUUGGAUGGGCCCGCGUUGGAUUAGCUAGUUGGUAGUGUAAAAGCCUACCAAGGCGACGAUCCAUAGCUGGUCUGAGAGGAUGAUCAGCCACACUGGGACUGAGACACGGCCCAGACUCCUACGGGAGGCAGCAGUGGGGAAUAUUGGACAAUGGGCGAAAGCCUGAUCAAGCAAUGCCGCGUGAGUGAUGAAGGCCUUAGGGUUGGAAAGCUCUUUUACCCGGGAUGAAAAUGACAGUACCGGGAGAAUAAGCUCCGGCUAACUCCGUG
rnacentral:rRNA from 1 species